GAACGCGAAGAACCUUACCACCUUUUGACAUGCCCGGACCGCCACAGAGAUGUGGCUUUCUCUUCGGAGACUGGGACACAGGUGCUGCAUGGCUGUCGUCAGCUCGUGUCGUGAGAUGUUGGGUUAAGUCCCGCAACGAGCGCAACCCUCGCCAUUAGUUGCCAUCAUUCAGUUGGGAACUCUAAUGGGACUGCCGGUGCUAAGCCGGAGGAAGGUGGGGAUGACGUCAAGUCCUCAUGGCCCUUACAGGGUGGGCUACACACGUGCUACAAUGGCGACUACAGAGGGUUAAUCCUUAAAAGUCGUCUCAGUUCGGAUUGUCCUCUGCAACUCGAGGGCAGAAGUGGAAUCGCUAGUA
rnacentral:rRNA from 1 species